ACCCGGGUGGCUCAGUCAGUUGAGCAUCUGACUAAGGCUCAGGUCAUGAUCUCACGGUUCGUGGGUUCGAGCCCCACAUCAGGCU
rnacentral:tRNA from 1 species